UGGGCACCUCAUACAUUCGCUCAUAUUUUUAUUGAGGGAUUGUUGCCAAGAAAUCCCAAACAAAACUUUAUUCAGAGACUUGUUUUUCAGAGUUAGUUGGAGUAACUUGGGAUUUCACAUUCAUUUUGUAUCUAGUAUCUGAUAGUAUCUGGAUUUUUUUCAGCCAUACAUAUUAAAUCAGUACAGAAUCUCACAGAUUCCAAGUUUUCUUUUUUUUUUUCCUGCUGAUUUUGAGUUGUUUUCUCGAUAAAUAGUUUUCUUGAGAUUGGGUUCAUUCCACAGCUUGAAAUGAAGUGCGGUGGGGAUAAACGAUCUGUGUCAGACCUGCUGGGGUCCAUAUGGUCCAUCACCAUGGUUCUCACACUACAUCACACCCAUGAGAUAGAUGAACACAGGCUGUUUACCAGUCAUCCUUCAGAAAAAAUGAUGAGGGCCAGAAGAACAGAAAGUGAGACACAGUUGUCUUGGGUUUUGGACUUGGCUUCCCUCCAGCUGUGUGUCCUUCCCCUGCCAUCCUUACUGGAGCUCAGGCUGCACUGGCAGGCUGGGGAAUGCUUUGAAUGUUAAUGAAAUAUGUCAUCGUGAGUUGUCUCAGUAAUUAAUUGUUCACAUCACAUAUUUGAAAGGCCACCAGGAAGCAGUCCCAGUAGCACUGCGGCGUGUUGCCUGUCUCAGAAUAGAGCUCCACUUUGAGGCUGGAAUCAGAGUGCAACAACUGAAGUUGUAUUAUCAGAUGCCAUUGCUUUGUGAACGUGAUAAAAAUACAGGCGAUAUUUCAAUAAACCUAGUAAAUGUCAGUACACUAUGAGCGCCACUAAAUUUGCGCCUCCAUUUUAUGUAAUAUAACCAUCACAUUCAGUACUUAGGUAUGUUUUAUAUAAAUACUACAUAUUUUGAAAUAAAAAGUUGGUAACUUUAUUUUAGGAUCUUUUAACUAGUUGCUUAUUAGCAUGCAUAUUAGUAGAAUAUUUAUUAAGCACAUAUUAAUGCAUGACCUUAUUUAACAUUCUUAAUCCUACCCAAUACCUAAACUAAUAAGCAGUAAAUUAGGUGUUUAUUGAGGGAAAAGUCGUAGUUAAUAGUUUAUAUGUGUUCCCUAUACUAAAGUGUUACCAAAAAGUUUUGCCAGCCGUACAAUUGGGCAUAAUUAAGCAAUUUCACAUGCUGUUUCACAUUCAAACCAUGCUGUAUUUCCAAAUAUUUUUGAAUGUAUCUGUUUUUUGCACCAUCAAUGCAAAUAAUUUCAAAGGAAGCCAUGCAGUGGUGAUGUGUUUUGUUCCUGAA